rnacentral:rRNA from 1 species
GAUGAACGCUAGCGGCAGGCUUAAUACAUGCAAGUCGAGGGGCAGCGCAGUGUAGCAAUACAUGGGCGGCGACCGGCAAACGGGUGCGGAACACGUACAGAACCUUCCUUCGAGCGGGGAAUAGCCCAGAGAAAUUUGGAUUAGUACCCCAUAGUAUAUUGGAGUGGCAUCACUUUAAUAUUAAAGAUUUAUCACUUGAA